AUUUUUUGGAGAGCCCAAAUUUGCCACUUCCAAAAUCCUCUCUCUCUCUAAACAAAUUGGUGACAAUUUUUCUUCAUGGCUGGGUGAGAAAGACAAGAUAAAAAAGGCUGAAGAGUCUCUUCGAACCGUCAUGUAUUUGAGUUGUUGGGGCCCUAAUUCAUGAUGUGAAAUUUUCAUUCAAGAAAAUUAAUCAAAGACUUGAAACAUCAUUGAUGCAAGAAAAAAUUUAAGACGGUAUUUCACACCCUACAUCAGAGCGCACAUGGUUAUGAAACGAAUCAUAUGUGUAAUCAACUGUUAUCGACGUCGGCGAAACAUCCAUAUUGUGACAGGUGUUAUUCAUCUUUCACUUCUGAUUUUUUUUAAGACUUUGUUAGUAUAACUACUUAGUGGUGGAUCGAAAAGGAGAUGGUACAUUAGAAGCUAUCGUGAACCGAAAAUGAUGAUGAUUUAAUUUUGAGCGUCUAACUUUGAUACUCUACGAGGCAAUCUUUUUGUAGUUAUUGAUUUAAUUAUUUUGUGCCUCGUUUUUUAUUGGAUUAACUCGCAUUCUGUAAUUAAUUUACAUUUUAGUAACUAAAAAGUUUAUGUUUUCAUUGUUUUGGCAUUAGAAAAUUAUAUUUUAAUUUGUUAGGAGAUUAGCAUUUUUCUGUGUAUUAUUAAUCCAGCCAGUCAGUUUUAACAUUUAACAACUUUUUAUUUCAAGAAAAUUAGACCUUAAACUAAUUGAAUUACUUAACAUUGUUAUAUAUAUGUUUAUACAGAGAGAUAAUCGAUUAAAAUUGGUAUUAAUAUUUCAUCAAAUCGAAAUUUGAAGAUGAGCAUAAACCAAGUGAUAAAUAACACAAAGAUCAAUAAUCAAAACAUUAAAAAGAAGAUGUCUCAUAACUGUCCAAAAAUCCCAUCAUAAAAUACUUGUAGCACACAAGAUGAGGUAAAAAGGUUCAAACAGUUUUGCUAUAUCUUGUUAGGGUGGAAACACAAAGUCAAAACAUAACUAAAACUAAUCGACUGGCUUAGUAAUUUGGUUUUUGUUUUUAUUGCAUAAAUCGUAUGUAUUGGUUAAAAGUUUAAGAAAAUGAAGCCAAAUAUGUAUAUUUUUGUCGAGUAUGUUCACCCUCUCUUUCUUCACUUUCAUAGGUCACCUAUCUCUUAUAGCAACAGCACAAUCUAAGAAUCGUCUUUGUUGCAAUGUCAUUUAAAGGAUUGUCUUCAUAGCAGCACCAUCAAGCCUUCCUGUCACAAUUGUCACUAUCAAGUGUUGCCCUCAUUGCCUUUACAUUAUUAUCGACCAUCAUCUCCUUGCAGUAGCCGUGUCGUCGUAUCGCUUCCUUGACAGUAACAGAAAUUGUCCUCCUCUAUUCUCUUUUUUACUUGAUUUUUUUUCAAAGAAUCUUAUGGCCUCUCAACCCCAUCAACCAUCAACACAAGAGAGUCCAACUAUUGUGUUCAAAAACCAAAUUGAGAAGAUAAUUAAAUCGACAUGAUUAGUUUUUGUGUCUUA